rnacentral:rRNA from 1 species
GUUGAACGCUGGCGGCAUGCCUAAUACAUGCAAGUCGAACGGUAACACGAAGAGCCUUCCUUCCUGGCUGAAGCGUCGCGCGGGUGUGUGAAAUGUCUGGGAAACAGCUUUAUGACGGGGGUUAACUCCGGGAAACGGUACUUAAUCCCGCAUAUCUUCUCAAGACCAAGGUGGGGGACUUUCAGGCCGUUUUCCUUCCGCUUAUCCCAGGUGGGAUUAGCUAGUAGGUAGGGUAACGGCUCACCAAGGCGACGAUCAGUAGCUGGUCUGAGAGGAUGACCAGCCACACUGGAACUGAGACACGGUCCAGACUCCUACGGGAGGCAGCAGUGGGGAAUAUUGCGCAAUGGGCGCAAGCCUGAUGCAGCCAUGCCGCGUGAAUGAAGAAGGCCUUCGGGUCGUAAAGUUCUUUCAGCGGGGAGGAAGGGAGUAGAGUGAAUACCUUCACUCAUUGACGGUACCCGCAGAAGAAGCAACGGCUAACUCCGUG